CCCUUAGAUGUUCUGGGCCGCACGCGUGCUACACUGAGUGGAUCAGCGGGUCAGGUUGCGCGAAAGCGUUUCCUAAUCUUUAAAUCCGCUCGUGAUGGGGAUUGACGGUUGCAAUUUUCUGUCAUGAACGAGGAAUACCUUGUAAGCGCGGGUCAUCAUCCCGCGCUGAAUACGUCCCUGCCCUUUGUACACACCGCCCGUCGCUCCUACCGAUUGAGUGGUCCGGUGAGGCUUUGGGAUCUGAGCGGAAAGAGCGUUUUGCUGUUUCUGCUCGGAAAACUCAGUCGAACCUUAUCAUUUAGAGGAAGGAGAAGUCGUAACA
rnacentral:rRNA from 1 species